GGGGAUUCUAGGAAGGUCAAUAUCAGAUGGAACCGAUGGCAUUACCUGAUGAUCAUUUGAAACCAUCUUCAUGAGCUGAGAUACGUGGAACACUAGAUGAAUGGUACAGGAUGGAGGUAACUGGAGUUUGUAAGCCAUAGAGCCAACUCGAGCUAGUAUCUCAUAAGGACUAAAGAACUUGAAUGCAAGCUUCUGAUUUGCCCUUGGAGCUAGAGAGGACUGUACAUAAGGCUGAAGUUUGAGAAAUACCUUGUCAUCGACAUCAAACUUCCUUUCAGAAUGAUGUUUGUUAGCCUGUUUCUUCAUGCAAAGUUUAGAAUGAGCAAGGUG
rnacentral:lncRNA from 1 species